UCAGAUGGUUUUAUGCGUUAUGCUUGUUCUU
rnacentral:piRNA from 1 species